rnacentral:rRNA from 1 species
UGCGUAGGCGGCUUCUUAAGUCGGAUGUGAAAUCCCUGAGCUUAACUUAGGAAUUGCAUUCGAUACUGGGAAGCUAGAGUAUGGGAGAGGAUGGUAGAAUUCCAGGUGUAGCGGUGAAAUGCGUAGAGAUCUGGAGGAAUACCGAUGGCGAAGGCAGCCAUCUGGACAAAGACUGACGCUCAGGUGCGAAAGCGUGGGGAGCAAACAGGAUUAGAUACCCCUGUA